rnacentral:rRNA from 1 species
UAGAGGAAGUAAAAGUCGUAACAAGGUUUCCGUAGGUGAACCUGCGGAAGGAUCAUUAUUGAAAUAAACCUGAUGGGUUGUUGCUGGUUCUCUAGGGAGCAUGUGCACACCUUGUCAUCUUUAUAUCUCCACCUGUGCACCUUUUGUAGACCUUUCAGGUCUAUGUUGCUUCAUUUACCCCAAUGUAUGUUAAUAGAAUGUUGUGCCUAUAUAAUAUAUACAACUUUCAGCAACGGAUCUCUUGGCUCUCGCAUCGAUGAAGAACGCAGCGAAAUGCGAUAAGUAAUGUGAAUUGCAGAAUUCAGUGAAUCAUCGAAUCUUUGAACGCACCUUGCGCUCCUUGGUAUUCCGAGGAGCAUGCCUGUUUGAGUGUCAUUAAUAUAUCAACCUUCUCUUUUUGAGUGGUUUGGAUGUGGGGGUUUGCUGGCCUCUUAAAAGGUCUUGGCUCUCCUGAAAUACAUUAGCAGAACAACCCUGUUCAUUGGUGUGAUAACUAUCUACGCUAUUGAAUGUGAAGGGCAGUUUGGCUUUCUAACAGUCCUUGGACAAGCUCAUCAUUAAUGUGACCUCAAAUCAGGUAGGACUACCCGCUGAACUUAAGCAUAUCA